rnacentral:rRNA from 1 species
UACGUAGGGGGCAAGCGUUAUCCGGAUUUACUGGGUGUAAAGGGAGCGUAGACGGAUGGACAAGUCUGAUGUGAAAGGCUGGGGCUCAACCCCGGGACUGCAUUGGAAACUGCCCGUCUUGAGUGCCGGAGAGGUAAGCGGAAUUCCUAGUGUAGCGGUGAAAUGCGUAGAUAUUAGGAGGAACACCAGUGGCGAAGGCGGCUUGCUGGACGGUAACUGACGUUGAGGCUCGAAAGCGUGGGGAGCAAACAGG